AGCCGGUAUCUUUCGGGGAUACUUAACAGCGGACGGGUGACUACACGUAGGCAACCUGCCUGUAAGACUGGGAUAACAUUCGUGAAACGAAUGCUAAUACCAGAUACGCGAUUUCCUCGCAUGGGGAGAUCGGGAAAGACGGAGCAAUCUGUCACUUACAGAUGGGCCUGCGGCGCAUUAGCUAUUUGGUGGGGUAAUGGCCUACCAAGGCGACGAUGCGUAGCCGACCUGACAGGGUGAUCGGCCACACUGGGACUGACACACGGCCCAGACUCCUACGGGAGGCAGCAGUAAGGAAUCUUCCGCAAUGGACGACAGUCUGACGGAGCAACGCCGCGUGAGUGAUGAAGGCUUGCGGGUCGUAUAGCUCUGUCGCCAUCGAAGAACACCUGGGAGAGUAUCUGGUCUCAAGGUGACGGUACCUGAGAAGAAAGCCCCGGCUAGCUACGUGCCAGCAGCCGCGGUGAU
rnacentral:rRNA from 1 species